AGAGUUUGAUCCUGGCUCAGGACGAACGCUGGCGGCGUGCUUAACACAUGCAAGUCGAGCGAGGAAAUUGCUUCGGUGAUUUCCUAGCGGCGGACGGGUGAGUAACACGUGGGCAACCUGCCUGAUAGAGGGGGAUAGCCUCCCGAAAGGGAGAUUAAUACCGCAUAAAGUCAAAUGAAGGCAUCUUCAAAUGACCAAAGGAGUAAUCCGCUAUCAGAUGGGCCCGUGGCGCAUUAGCUAGUUGGUGAGGUAACGGCUCACCAAGGCGACGAUGCGUAGCCGACCUGAGAGGGUGAUCGGCCACAUUGGGACUGAGACACGGCCCAGACUCCUACGGGAGGCAGCAGUGGGGAAUAUUGCACAAUGGGGGAAACCCUGAUGCAGCAACGCCGCGUGAGUGAUGAAGGCCUUCGGGUUGUAAAGCUCUGUCUUCAGGGACGAUAAUGACGGUACCUGAGGAGGAAGCCACGGCUAACUACGUGCCAGCAGCCGCGGUAAUACGUAGGUGGCAAGCGUUGUCCGGAUUUACUGGGCGUAAAGGGAGCGUAGGCGGAUACUUAAGUGGGAUGUGAAAUACCUGGGCUUAACUUGGGUGCUGCAUUCCAAACUGGGUGUCUAGAGUGUUGGAGAGGAAAGUGGAAUUCCUAGUGUAGCGGUGAAAUGCGUAAAGAUUAGGAAGAACACCAGUGGCGAGGGCGACUUUCUGGGCUUUAACUGACGCUGAGGCACGAAAGCAUGGGUAGCAAACAGGAUUAGAUACCCUGGUAGUCCAUGNCGUAAACGAUGAUUACUAGGUGGUGGGGUGGGUCUGACCCCAUUCCGUGGCCGGAAGUUAA
rnacentral:rRNA from 1 species